GCAGUAUGAGGGAGAGAGGAGUGGAGAUUGGUGUGAUUUCAUAGAAACGAGAAAAUGUUCAGUAAUCAGCGAUGACAUUGAGGAACAGUACCAGAAAAACAACAACGGCAAAAUGCCCCUUGCUGGAGAGGAGUACGAGCUGGACUGGAAAGCAAAGACCAAAACCAACCUGACGACUGGCAAAGCAUGCAAGAUCAGAC